UUGGAUCUUCAUUUUUUGACUAGGCUACCUGGAUUUUACAUUGUGUUGUUAUUUCGCUGAAAACUAGAUGGUUUCAUUUGAUUUUUGGCAGUGAAACGAGGCUACUCAGGUGAGGGAAAAAAAACUCACCCAAGUGUAUAGCCCCGUUGGAAAAUGUAAAUGGACUGUUUGAAAAUGUGAAUCACAUUUUUAUUUGCUCGUACCCCAGUUUGGUGAAUACCUGCUCUAGGGCAACGGUGUCUAGAUGGAAUUUGUUUUUGUGGUCCUGGCAACUGGACCUUUUUUGGAACACCAUUAUUUUUGUCUAAAUGAGAUGUACCUUUCCCUAUCUCUGUCUGCCAGUCACACGUUCUACAUUACAGGCCAGUAGCGCAGACGGCGUUCAGAACGAUCUCAGUGAUUGGCUACACUCCAGUACGUAUGAGAGAUUUCCGCCUCCGGAACGAGCUCAGUGAUUGGCUACACUCCAGUACGUAUGAGAGAUUUCUGCCUCCGGAACGAGCUCAGUGAUUGGCUACACUCCAGAAGGAGAUACAGACAAGGCAGAACAUCUAAAAAGGAAGCUGAUAAAUCGGAGCAGGGUGACGGUUGGACUUCCUCCCCUCAGAGUGGAUUUCCCCUCCCUAACCUUGGGAAAGAGAUGCCACGUGCUCCACAGUUAGAGGUUCCACAUCUCUCUGACGAAGACCCUCUGCCAUGUUACCACCACCAACCUUCCACUGUGCCAGACUGCUGACUAGGUCAAGCCAACCAGGAGAGUAAUUGGGAGAGAAUAUCACUGCCCCAGCCAAUGCCAGACAGACAGACAGAUCAAGAUGACCUGGGAAAUCCAUUUGGGCAUUGGCUUACAUCACCUCUCCACACGGGAUCCAGUGAGGGGCCACAGGGAUGUGGAACAAUUGUUGCAGAUCAUGGAAUUCCCAUCGGUUGGAGCUUCCCGCCUGUUUCGUGGUGGAGCUAAAAGUAGCAUCUGCCAUCGUUCAGUCAGAGCAUCAAACUCUCCGAUUAGUUUCCUUCUCCUGACCCAUAAAGUUAGGGGAGCUGUGAAUGUUCUUCUCUCUGUACACUCACUGAGAUGUUUCACAUUGUGUAUAAACCCCAUGACAAACGGUAAGAUGGCGCUUGUCUGUUCUCUUUGAAGAGACUGUGUGGAGAUGGAUUGCACAGGCUCUGCUAUCUGACAGCUAGCUGGGCCUCUAAGUUCACAGUGUUACAGAAAAGCUGGAACAAGCGUGUGGACAUGGAGAAAACACACACUGAAAGACCAUCCCACAGAGAACUAGAAAGAUGUAGAAUGUACUGGAUGAAAUUUCCUAGUCUUUACAACUGACAUGGAGUCAGUCCAAGACACUCACCUUGAACUCUAAAUGGUACACUUCUGUUGUUCCUCUCAUUACCAUUCCUGUCAAGUCCUGUGUUCAUACUGGGAUUAGUACAUAGUUCUCACACCCAUAGGCGGAUGUCAUGAGCAAGACAUAGGUCAAAAGGUUGAAUGUUGUCUGUGUUGUAGGGGUACGGUGUUUAAAAAUGAUUUCUGUCAGAUGUCUGUCUACCUGCUGAAAUCCAAGUUCAGAAGACGUUGCUCUGCUCAGAAUGUAGCAGUUGAGGCAACACUCCCAAAGCAGUACAAAUGUAACAUUUGUUGUGGAGAAAAUAAAUCUGAGCUGUCCGAUACAUUUUAUGCAUAUUGUUGUUCAAAUUUCAGUGAUACAUUUCUGUAGACAAUGAGCAAAAAGCAUCCCUCAAUCGUACAGAGUGCACCUUUCACCAUACCAAGGGUACACACCAAUAACGACCCCAGGUGGCUAAGCAACACACAAACCAGUCCUUCAUUAACCAGUCACUAAGGUUGCUGAGGUGGCAAGUCGCUAAGGUCUGAACUCCAGCUCAAAGGUCAUGCCACAUGACAGCUGCAUUUCCUACAUGUUUUCACAGGUUCUCUAAUCACUGUAGAUUGACAACAGCACAGACGGUCCCAUUCAACCUCCCUGCCUGCCUCUCCCUCAGAUGCCUAGAUUAAACAAACACCCGUGGCCCGUCCUCACAGUCCUGAGUUGCAGCUCCC
ensembl:lncRNA